rnacentral:rRNA from 1 species
AUUGAACGCUGGCGGCAGGCCUAACACAUGCAAGUCGAGCGAGCGGCGGACGGGUGAGUAAUGUCUGGGAAACUGCCUGAUGGAGGGGGAUCACUACUGGAAACGGUAGCUAAUACCGCAUACCAUCAGAUGUGCCCAGAGGGGAUUAGCUUGUAGGUUGGGUAACGGCUCACCUAGGCGACGUUCCCUAGCUGGUCUGCGAGGAUGACCAGCAAUACUGGAACUGAGAAACGGUCCAGACUCCUACGGGAGGCAGCAGGAGAGAAUAUUGCACAAGGGGCGUAAGCCUGAUGCAGCCAUGCCGCUUGUGUGAAGAAGGCCUUCGAGUUGUAAAGCACGUUCAGCGGGGAGGCGUUACCCGCAGAAGAAGCACCGGCUAACUCCGUGCCAGCAGCCGCGGUAAUAC